GAACAUUGUAAUCAGGCAUCUUGGGCUGCUUGCUCGAGCCCACUCCCACUCUGUGGAGUGUAAUUUUGCUUCGCUAAAUCUGUGCUUUAGUUGCUUCGUUUGUUGCUUUGUUUGUGAGUUUUGUUUAUUUCUUUUUUCAACUUGCCAAGAACCUGGACAACUCACAGUCAAGACUUUCCAUCUGGUAACAAUUUGGUCAGAUCAACAAGACAUAGCAUCUAUAAUCUUUGCCCUCAGUGAUGUCGUUUACUUCUAUAAAAUACAGACCUAAAUUGACAUUUUCAUCAUAAAGUUGUACUGGUGAGAAUUUUGCUCUUUUUGUCACUUGCAAUCCCCUUAUAGGCUGUGAAAUGUAAUCUUCCAUAAAAAGGAAGUGUGUUAAAUCACACUGAUUUCUAUUCCAAUGAAAAUUACAGUUUGCUUUUAGUGGGCAUGACUCAGUCAAUCAAAUUGGAAGCUUGACAUUCUGUCCCUGAAUGAAAAUUUUUAAAACAUCAUUUCCUCCCUCUUCUCUUACACGGAGCCAACCAUCAUUCACCUAAAGGACACUGAAGAGGAAGGCAUAUAAUGAAAACAAAAAUAAAUGCCUACUGACUUUAUCCUUCUCUACAAACUGUGGCCCUCAGAUUUAAAUAUGAAGUGUCAAGUAAGA
rnacentral:lncRNA from 1 species